AGUGAACGCUGGCGGUAGGCCUAACACAUGCAAGUCGAACGGCAGCACAGUAAGAGCUUGCUCUUACGGGUGGCGAGUGGCGGACGGGUGAGGAAUACAUCGGAAUCUACUUUGUCGUGGGGGAUAACGUAGGGAAACUUACGCUAAUACCGCAUACGACCUACGGGUGAAAGCAGGGGAUCUUCGGACCUUGCGCGAUUGAAUGAGCCGAUGUCGGAUUAGCUAGUUGGCGGGGUAAAGGCCCACCAAGGCGACGAUCCGUAGCUGGUCUGAGAGGAUGAUCAGCCACACUGGAACUGAGACACGGUCCAGACUCCUACGGGAGGCAGCAGUGGGGAAUAUUGGACAAAGGGCGCAAGCCUGAUCCAGCCAUACCGCGUGGGUGAAGAAGGCCUUCGGGUUGUAAAGCCCUUUUGUUGGGAAAGAAAAGCAGCAGGUUAAUACCCCGCUGUUCUGACGGUACCCAAAGAAUAAGCACCGGCUAACUUCGUG
rnacentral:rRNA from 1 species